AUCCAGCCGACGAGUUCCGAAUAAAAUGAAACGCGCAUCCUGGAU
rfam:Schistosoma margrebowiei strain Zambia genome assembly, scaffold: SMRZ_scaffold0001748